UACGAAGGGGGCUAGCGUUGUUCGGAAUCACUGGGCGUAAAGCGUCUGUAGGUGGUUUAAUAAGUCAACUGUUAAAUCUUGAGGCUCAACCUCAAAAUCGCAGUCGAAACUAUUAGGCUAGAGUAUAGUAGGGGUAAAGGGAAUUUCCAGUGGAGCGGUGAAAUGCGUAGAGAUUGGAAAGAACACCGAUGGCGAAGGCACUUUACUGGGCUAUUACUAACACUCAGAGACGAAAGCUAGGGUAGCAAAUGGG
rnacentral:rRNA from 1 species